UUUUCCUACGGGACGCAGCAGUGGGGGAUAUUGCACAAUGGGGGAAACCCUGAUGCAGCGACGCCGCGUGGGCGAAGAAGUAUUUCGGUAUGUAAAGCCCUAUCAGCAGGGAAGAAGAAAUGACGGUACCUGAGUAAGAAGCACCGGCUAAAUACGUGCCAGCAGCCGCGGUAAUACGUAGGGGGCAAGCGUUAUCCGGAUUUACUGGGUGUAAAGGGAGCGUAGACGGAAAGGCAAGUCAGAAGUGAAAACCCAAGGCUCAACCAUGGGACUGCUUUUGAAACUGUCAAACUAGAGUACGGGAG
rnacentral:rRNA from 1 species